UGUACGGGCGAGCGAGCAACUUGUGUGCGUGUGCGUGUGUUUCACUAUUAAAGCACGUAUAUAUAGAAUCGAAAUGAAUGAAUAAAACUCGCUGGCGGCACGAGACCCCAAAAAAGAGGCGAGAGAGCGCCAAAUUAAUGACGUGCACGCCAAAAGAGAAGAGAGAGCAACAUGUGUUGUUGGGAGAGAGAAUAAAGAUAAGGCAUUUCGUGUGCGGCGAACGUGAUUGCCACAGUGGGACUAAAACUCGAAUUUUAUGACCACAAAAUCCGCUGGGAGAUAAGCACAGGGGAUUCCUACGAAAUGAUUGGCAAAUUUGACAGAUUGCCUUUGUUUAGGCAGGGGAUAUGUUUAGCAGCGAAUCAUGCACUAAAAUAUAAAUUUACCCCGCGAUUGCAUGGCUAAAGUUUAAUCACGAAAGCCGGAGGAAAACCCCAAACGACAACAAUUGCGACUGGCGUAGCUGGUGAAACUAUUUUUAAGAUACUUUUGUAAGCACUGCAUUGGGGAAUCCAUGGCGGAGUGGCGGCUGUGAAAUGAAAUGGAAUGUUAAGUAGAAAUCAAAUAAAUAAACAAUUGGAAUUGAAAGACUACUGCUUACAGCAUGGAACUGCUCACAUUCCAAUUGUGGGAUAGGAAUUUGGUUAUAUCUUCUGUAAAUAAAUUCUUUAUCUUUAUUUAGGAAAUAUUUUGCAUUUCAGUUUGGCAAUUAUUUACUUGCAAAUAUGUGACUUCAUAUAUAUUACA